CUGGUGCCAGCAGCCGCGGUAAUUCCAGCUCCAAUAGCGUAUAUUAAAGUUGUUGCAGUUAAAAGCUCGUAGUUGAAUUUCGGGGUCAUCAGGUUGGUCGUGCCAAUGGUAUGCACUGGCCUUGGUGAUCCCUCCUUCUUGAAGAACCGUGAUGCCAUUUAGUUGGUGCUGCGGGGAAACAGGACUGUUACUUUGAAAAAAUUAGAGUGUUUAAAGCAGGCUAACGCUUGAAUACAUUAGCAUGGAAUAAUAGAAUAGGACGUUCGAUCCUAAUUUUGUUGGUUUUCUAGGGUUGACGUAAUGAUUAAUAGGGAUAGUUGGGGGCAUUAGUAUUCAAUUGUCAGAGGUGAAAUUCUUGGAUUUAUUGAAGACUAACUACUGCGAAAGCAUUUGCCAAGGAUGUUUUCAUUAAUCAAGAACGAAAGUUAGGGGAUCGAAGACGAUCAGAUACCGUCGUAGUCUUAACCAUAAACUAUGCCGACUAGGGAUCGGAUGAUGUUAAUUUUUUAAUGACUCAUUCGGCGCCUUACG
rnacentral:rRNA from 1 species